rnacentral:rRNA from 1 species
GAUGAACGCUGGCGGCGUGCCUAAUACAUGCAAGUCGAGCGAACGGACGAGAAGCUUGCUUCUCUGAUGUUAGCGGCGGACGGGUGAGUAACACGUGGAUAACCUACCUAUAAGACUGGGAUAACUUCGGGAAACCGGAGCUAAUACCGGAUAAAAUUUUGAACCGCAGGGUUCAAAAGUGAAAGACGGUCUUGCUGUCACUUAUAGAUGGAUCCGCGCUGCAUUAGCUAGUUGGUAAGGUAACGGCUUACCAAGGCAACGAUGCAUAGCCGACCUGAGAGGGUGAUCGGCCACACUGGAACUGAGACACGGUCCAGACUCCUACGGGAGGCAGCAGUAGGGAAUCUUCCGCAAUGGGCGAAAGCCUGACGGAGCAACGCCGCGUGAGUGAUGAAGGUCUUCGGAUCGUAAAACUCUGUUAUUAGGGAAGAACAUAUGUGUAAGUAACUGUGCACAUCUUGACGGUACCUAAUCAGAAAGCCACGGCUAACUACGUG